CAUAGAGUCCCUGAUAACUCCUGAGUGGUUUACAUAGAAGCAGCAUUCCUCUCUGAGGACAGCACAGAGUCCCCCUUCUUUUAGAAACAAUAUGUCUAACCCUCUCCGGUUUUGGAGUGCCACCUCUGCCAGGGAGGCCAGCGAUUCCUCCAGCCUGCCAACAAGAACCAGCCUGACAGCAAUCCCUACAAGCUCCGGAAAAAGAAUUGAACUACACCUCCCUGACUGCACUGGAUUCAACUCACUCCGUUUCGAUUGACACCCCAACCAGAACCUCGAGUAAUGACUUCAAUCAAGUUGAGGAUUUCAACGUAGAUCUUCAAUCAAACAAAUCUCAUCUAACAUGGACUAGACAUAACUCAUUAGAGACUUUCCCUGUACUGGCAUUUUUUUUUCCACAGGGCCCCCACAUGACUAUCAUCGUCCCAUUUCAGCAGGAAGUAACCUAGAAGAUGCUACGCCCCCGUUCCCCAUUAUUGUGUAUUAGGGUAGUGUAAGUCUAGUUAAAUAUAACCUUCUUAUUGUUUAGAGUUGGGAUUGGAAGAAGGUGUUCAAGUUAGACACUUUUUCCACAUGACUUUAAGACCUAGCUAGAAUAGACAUAGGAUGUACCAUAGCAGAUUAUUGUAUCUUCUUGUAUUUCACCCUUAUGAUUGUUAAGUUUUGGAUAUUUUACACUAUUAAGUUUUAAUCCUCUUUUAGACUAAAAGGGGAAUUGUAGGGAGACACCCUAGUCCUGCCCAAUAGUCCUGGGAUAGGUACCAGGUGGACCCAGGACUCGCCCAUAAGGGCGUGAUGAAGGAAAGCCGGGGUGACGUAAGGGAGCUUCUUAAGGGGCUGCACGUGGGGACCUGGGCCCUUUUGUUCUGGCCGCGCUUGCUGGGUUCUAUAACCUAGCUCUGGCCUGUGUUUUGCCUUGGUGUCUUCUUGAAUAAAGAGACUUUAAUCCUACAGAGUCUCCAAAUGAAAGACCCUCAGAUCGAGGAGCCUCCACAAAUCGGACGGUUUCCCCAAAAAACUCAAUGUCCAGUCCAGCUGAUGUAAAAACAAGAGGUAA
ensembl:lncRNA